CCUACGGGAGGCAGCAGUGGGGAAUAUUGCACAAUGGGGGGAACCCUGAUGCAGCGACGCCGCGUGGGUGAAGGCGUAUUUCGGUAUGUAAAGCCCUAUCAGCAGGGAAGAACAAUGACGGUACCUGACUAAGAAGCACCGGCUAAAUACGUGCCAGCAGCCGCGGUAAUACGGAUGGUGCAAGCGUUAUCCGGAUUUACUGGGUGUAAAGGGAGCGCAGGCGGCGCGUUAAGCCUGGUGUGAAAGUCCGCGGCCUAACCGCGUGACUGCAGUGGGAACUGGCGCGCUGGAGUGCCGGAGGGGUAGGCGGAAUGCGUGGUGUAGCGGUGAAAUGCGUAGAUAUUAGGCGGAACGCCAGUGGCGAAGGCAGCCUACUGGACGGUGACUGACGCUGAGGCUCGAAAGCGUGGGGAGCGAACAGGAUUAGAUACCCGAGUAGUC
rnacentral:rRNA from 1 species